rnacentral:rRNA from 1 species
GACGAACGCUGGCGGCGUGCCUAAUACAUGCAAGUCGAGCGGACGGAUGGGAGCUUGCUCCCAGACCGUCAGCGGCGGACGGGUGAGUAACACGUGGGCAACCUGCCUGUAAGACUGGGAUAACUCCGGGAAACCGGGGCUAAUACCGGAUAACUCUUUCCCUCCCAUGAGGGAAAGCUGAAAGAUGGCAUCUCGCUAUCACUUACAGAUGGGCCCGCGGCGCAUUAGCUAGUUGGUGGGGUAACGGCUCACCAAGGCGACGAUGCGUAGCCGACCUGAGGGGGUGAUCGGCCACCCGGGAACUGAGACACGGCCCAGACUCCUACGGGAGGCAGCAGUAGGGAAUCUUCCGCAAUGGACGAAAGUCUGACGGAGCAACGCGGCGUGAGUGAUGAAGGUGUUCGGAUCGUAAAACCCUGUUGUCAGGGAAGAACAAGUACCGGAGUAACUGCCGGUACCUUGACGGUACCUGACCAGAAAGCCACGGCUAACUACGUG